rnacentral:rRNA from 1 species
GCCUAAUACAUGCAAGUCGAACGCCCCGCAAGGGGAGUGGCAGACGGGUGAGUAACGCGUGGGAAUCUACCUAGUUCUACGGAACAACACAGGGAAACUUGUGCUAAUACCGUAUACGCCCUACGGGGGAAAGAUUUAUCGGAAUUAGAUGAGCCCGCGUAAGAUUAGCUAGUUGGUGGGGUAAUGGCCUACCAAGGCGACGAUCUUUAGCUGGUCUGAGAGGAUGAUCAGCCACACUGGGACUGAGACACGGCCCAGACUCCUACGGGAGGCAGCAGUGGGGAAUAUUGGACAAUGGGCGCAAGCCUGAUCCAGCCAUGCCGCGUGAGUGAUGAAGGCCUUAGGGUUGUAAAGCUCUUUCAGUGGGGAAGAUAAUGACGGUACCCACAGAAGAAGCCCCGGCUAACUUCGUGCCAGCAGCCGCGGUAAUACGAAGGGGGCUAGCGUUGUUCGGAUUUACUGGGCGUAAAGCGCACGUAGGCGGUUGUUAAGUCAGGGGUGAAAUCCUGGAGCUCAACUCCAGAACUGA